rnacentral:rRNA from 1 species
AGUGAACGCUGGCGGUAGGCCUAACACAUGCAAGUCGAACGGCAGCACAGGAGAGCUCGCUCUCUGGGUGGCGAGUGGCGGACGGGUGAGGAAUACAUCGGAAUCUACUCUGUCGUGGGGGAUAACGUAGGGAAACUUACGCUAAUACCGCAUACGACCUACGGGUGAAAGCAGGGGACCUUCGGGCCUUGCGCGAUUGAAUGAGCCGAUGUCGGAUGAGCUAGUUGGCGGGGUAAAGGCCCACCAAGGCGACGAUCCGUAGCUGGGCUGAGAGGAUGAGCCGCCACACUGGAACUGGGACACGGUCCAGACUCCUACGGGAGGCAGCAGUGGGGAGUAUUGGACAAUGGGCGCAAGCCUGAUCCAGCCAUACCGCGUGGGUGAAGAAGGCCUUCGGGUUGUAAACCGCUUUCGUCAGGGAAGAAAUCCUUUGGGUUAAUACCUCGGGGGGAUGACGGUACCUGAAGAAUAAGCACCGGCUAACUACGUGCCAGCCGCCGCCGUAA